UGGGGUAUAGCUUUGUGGUAGAGCGUGUGCUUAGCAUGCAUGAGGUCCUGGGUUCAAUCCCCAGUGUCCCCA
rnacentral:tRNA from 1 species